GUCGAGCGAACGGACGAGGAAGCUUGCUCCUCUGACGUUAGCGGCGGACGGCUGUGUAACACGUGGAUAACCUACCUAUAAGACUGGGAUAACUUCGGGAAACCGGAGCUAAUACCGGAUAAUAUAUUGAACCGCAUGGUUCAAUAGUGAAAGACGGUUUUGCUGUCACUUAUAGAUGGAUCCGCGCCGCAUUAGCUAGUUGGUAAGGUAACGGCUUACCAAGGCAACGAUGCGUAGCCGACCUGAGAGGGUGAUCGGCCACACUGGAACUGAGACACGGUCCAGACUCCUACGGGAGGCAGCAGUAGGGAAUCUUCCGCAAUGGGCGAAAGCCUGACGGAGCAACGCCGCGUGAGUGAUGAAGGUCUUCGGAUCGUAAAACUCUGUUAUUAGGGAAGAACAAAUGUGUAAGUAACUAUGCACGUCUUGACGGUACCUAAUCAGAAAGCCACGGCUAACUACGUGCCAGCAGCCGCGGUAAUACGUAGGUGGCAAGCGUUAUCCGGAAUUAUUGGGCGUAAAGCGCGCGUAGGCGGUUUUUUAAGUCUGAUGUGAAAGCCCACGGCUCAACCGUGGAGGGUCAUUGGAAACUGGAAAACUUGAGUGCAGAAGAGGAAAGUGGAAUUCCAUGUGUAGCGGUGAAAUGCGCAGAGAUAUGGAGGAACACCAGUGGCGAAGGCGACUUUCUGGUCUGUAACUGACGCUGAUGUGCG
rnacentral:rRNA from 1 species